UAUUAGAAAAAAUAAAUACGCUAUUUUAAUAUUUUUUACUGAGAAUAUUUCGAAUACAUAUCCAUUUUGCAAAUAUCCUACAAGAGUAAUUGUAUCAAGCACAAGAUACUCGACAUUUUCCAAUCAAGUAAACAUUGGCCGGUCGAAGAUCCUCGUACACCGCGAUCACGCGUACUACUUACAACACGAGCGAGCGAGCGAAUGUGUAUAUAGAGGCGAACACUUCCACGAUCAUGGAUUCCUAGGCAAGCAUUCCCUACUCUCGAAUUAUAACACACGGAUUGUGUUACAGCGCGAUAGCCGCGCAGGACUUACAAUCCUAGAGGGCGUAUAAACGGCGCGUCGCAUUGUAAAACGUCACUUCACGAUGUGUGCUUAGGUUACGUGAAGUAGAGAAGCGUGUUUGACUAUUUCUAGAGAGCUGACAGAGAAAACAAAGGUACGGAGAAGGAAGAUACUUAUACGUGGGCGAGCGUGUAGACUGGACUUUGAUUCUCAAUGCCAAACAAAACUCCACGAGCCGUGAAAUCGUUCGGUUCUCGUCAUUGAUCGUAAUUAUAGAAGAUUCCAGACCAUUUAAUCGACUGAUUUUUCGGUAUCGUACGGUGAAGCUUGGCCCAUAGAAUGGCAGGAUAAAGCGUACAUCGGUUCACCCUUCCUUUGUACCAAUGUUCCAUGGAAUGACCUUGUUAUUUUUUACUACGUUACCUCGGGGUUUACUACUGGCCCGCCAGUUUUGCACCAUCCUCGGAGAUAAGGAACGAAAUAAAGUAAAGAAUUUAUGAUCUCGAGGCAGAUAAUCCGACUACGAUUCGAUGUAUAGCGAAGGGAUACACACGUAUUGAUUUUAAAUAAAAAUUCCAAAAUUGGCGUCAAAUAGCAAGGGUAUUAAAAUGAAAAUAUGUUUGAAUCUUGUGAUAAUUAUUGAACGUUCGAUAUAAAAGUGUACUCUUCAAAAAAAAAAAAAAAA